rnacentral:rRNA from 1 species
UACAGGGGGGGCAAGCGUUGUUCGGAAUUACUGGGCGUAAAGGGUUCGUAGGUGGCCACUUAAGUCAGACGUGAAAUCCCUCAGCUUAACUGGGGAACUGCGUCUGAUACUGGGUGGCUUGAGUGCAGGAGAGGGAUGCGGAAUUCCAGGUGUAGCGGUGAAAUGCGUAGAUAUCUGGAGGAACAUCAGUGGCGAAGGCGACACCCUGGACUCAUACUGACACUGAGGUGCGAAAGCGUGGGGAGCAAACAGG